GACAGAGGGUGCAAACGUUGCUCGGAAUCACUGGGCGUAAAGGGCGUGUAGGCGGGCAGGUAAGUCGGGCGUGAAAUCCCUGAGCUCAACUCAGGAACUGCACUCGAAACUACUUGUCUUGAGUACCGGAGAGGAAAGCGGAAUACCUGGUGUAGAGGUGAAAUUCGUAGAUAUCAGGUGGAACACCAGUGGCGAAGGCGGCUUUCUGGACGGUGACUGACGCUGAGACGCGAAAGCGUGGGGAGCAAACAGG
rnacentral:rRNA from 1 species